GACGAACGCUGGCGGCGCGCUUAACACAUGCAAGUCGAGCGAGAACCAGGGCUUCGGCCCUGGGGACAGCGGCGAACGGGUGAGUAACACGUGAGUAAUCUGCCCUCGACACUGGGAUAGCCCGGGGAAACCCGGAUUAAUACCGGAUAGCCUUUCGAGCUCUCGGGCUCGUCGAGAAAGAUGGCUUCGGCUUUCGGUGAGGAUGAGCUUGCGGCGGAUUAGUC
rnacentral:rRNA from 1 species